AGGUGGUUUGUGUUAGUUUGGGAAACUAGCUUGAAGCAGCCUAAGGCAAAUUUACUGUUUCUGUUCUCCAGAAAUAAGGCUCGCAAAGUGAAGAAGUAGUGGAGGAAUAGGAGUUGUAGUUGACGAGAAGACUAGUAAACAAAAUGGCUUAGAAAAGCAAAAGGCACUUAUUUAUCCACAACAGUCUUUUAUUUCUUGCUUCAGAAAAGAAUAGAAUCUGGCAUUACAAGAUUGAAUUGUUCUUUAUCACUGGUGAUGGGACUGCACCUUGAAUCUCAGCUGAGGUCAGCAACCAGUUUAAGGGUGAUGCAUCAUCAGCUGAAACGCUUAUCAUUUAGGACAGAGCCUGUGGGAGAGAGAGCAUAAAUCUCUCUGAGAAUAAGAAAAGUGUCGUUGCCACCAAAAUAAUCCACUUUUGAUUUGGGCCCUACCUAUCGCUUUCUUCAGUACUCUUCACCGUAUGUGGACAGAUUACUUCUAAGAACUGGGAAUGAAAGAAGGAGAGAUUCAGCAAAGAUUCGCUCUUCCUAGCAGCCUACCUAUAAUUCUCUUUGGAGAACACAUACAAGAUUUACAAGAGAAAAUAUAACACAAUAAGAGCAAUAAUAUGGGAUGAAACACAGGAAACCUGUUGCAGAUGGCCUUCUGGAAGGCAUUACAAGGAAAUUUAAUUUCUGCUGAAAAUAAAUCAGUAUUAAAGCAAAAUGGGACCAAGUAAAAA